rnacentral:rRNA from 1 species
UAAUUCCAGCUCCAAUAGCGUAUAUUAAAGUUGUUGCAGUUAAAAAGCUCGUAGUUGAACCUUGGGCCUGGCUGGCCGGUCCGCCUCCGCGUGCACUGGUUCCGCCGGGCCUUUCCUCCUGGAGAGCCCCAUACCCUUCUGGGCGUGUGGGGGGACCAGGACUUUUCUUUGAAAAAAUUAGAGAGUUCAAAGCACACCUUUACUCGAAUACAUAAGCACAGAAUAAUAAAAUAUAGCGCGCGGUCCUAUUUUGUUGGUGUUUAGGAUCGCCGUAAUGAUUAAUAGGGACACUCGGGGGCAUCCGUAUUCAAUUGUCAGAGAGGAAAUUCUUGGAUUUAUUGAAGACGAACUACUGCGAAAGCAUUUUCCAAGGAUGUUUUCAUUAAUCAGUGGACGAAAGUUAGGGGAUCGAAGACGAUCAGAUACCCUCGUAGUCUUUACCAUAAACUAUCCGACUAGGGAUCGGGCGAUGUUAUUAUCUGACUCGCUCGCCCCCUUCCGAGAAACCAAAGUCUGGGCUCCAGGGGA